UUAUAAAUUUCUAUUCAUUAUUAAUUUAUUAUUUGCCUAAGCAAAUUAUGGCAUUAACACAUAUUAGUUCAUGGGCUAAUCAAUCAAAUUUGCCCCUCGGUAUAAAGCUGAAAAUUUACUCAGUUGAGUAUCCGCUAUCUAAUCGUUUUACAAUAUCAUCUCUGGUAAGGUUAGGUACUUGGAACGAUAUCAAUCUAAAAUCAACUGCGCAUGCCGGAUUAGGUUAGAUUAGGUUAAGCCACUGGGUUUCAAAAAUUAUAAUCAAUAAUUCCACA